ACAUCAAGGAUCGACAGUUGAUGGCACCAGAGAUCGUGAGGGCAGUGCAGGCAGUCGAUCGGCCAAUCAGCACUUGCCUCAUUCUUCUUCAUCUACUCGGAUUCACUUAACGGCCAGCCGAUUUGGCACACAACCGCCUCCAUCCUAACUCUUUCUGUAACUUUCGACUAUUCUGGGUAUAGUAGGAUGUCAUUUUGGCGGGCUUUGAUCCCCGCAUAGUGUAGCCUUAGUUGUUGAAGCAGUAGGACUUCGAGUAAAGUACUCUUUGUUUGGUC
rnacentral:lncRNA from 1 species